GCUGGGCGUGGUGGUGCACACCUGUAAUCCCAGCUACUCAGGAGGCUGAGUCAGGAGAAUUGCUUGAACCCAGGAGGCAGGAGUUGCAGUGAGCUGAGAUCGUGCCACUGCACUCCAGCCUGGGCAACAGAGCAAGACUCCGUCUCAG
ensembl:misc_RNA Metazoa_SRP Metazoan signal recognition particle RNA